GGAGUGGGUGACAUCAUGGGCGCGAUCCCUGUGUUGCCGAUCGCCAUUGAGCUAUGCAUUCGACAACCGGCGUCAACAAUUGGUACCGAGGCUCAGUGUAUAUUCUACGACAGUUUCGUGAGCCCACAUCGGACGUAGUGACAAGAAGGAUCCUGUCGUCAAGGUGAUGUCCAAGGGAACGCCAAGACGGAAGGCGGAGCUAGAACAUCUGGUGCUCAUGUUGUCCACAAUUAAUGCCAUGCACAUCGAGACGAGGUCGCUCGACGUCAUGACAUCCAGGGUGUGCAUGGCUGAUCAAGUUAUGCAUCUUAAUGAGAAGAAGAUGUUCCCUACUGAUCACGACAAAGGCAACAAUGUAUGGGUCCUUGACACAGGGGCUAGCAAUCACAUGAAAGGGUGUCUCGAGGCGCUCGCGCCACUCAACAUAUCUGUGCGCGACACAAUGCGUUUUGGCGAUGGAUCACUCGUUGAGAUUGAGGGUAUUGGCUUUAUGAUGCUCUAGACCAAGACAAAGAGCUAUAAGGUGCUCGUUGAAGUCUACUUUAUUCCAAAAUUGAAGAGCAACAUUGUUAGUCUAGGUCAAUUGGAGGAGGGGGCUGCAAGAUUGUGGUUGAGGAUGGAUUCUGCAAUGUGUUUGGCAUCGAGCGCUCACUGCUAUGGCAUGUUUGCUAUGAACACCUCAAUUUUCAGGCACUGAGCUCGGCACAAAAGAGUAAAGCACUUCACCACGACGCCAUACAUACCACAACAAAAUGGUGUCAUAGAGCACCAUAAUCAUACACUAGGGGUGUAAUCGGAUCGGAUACGAACGGAUACUACUCGUUCCAUAUUUGUAUCCAUAUUUUCUCUCGAAUAAGGAUAUUAUCGAAUUGU